GCCAUGCUUCCUCUAACUUCUAAAGCUGUGAUCCUUAAAAAAGAAAUGGCAGCAAAAAUCCAUCAUUUGAAUAUGGGGAUGACUAUUGAUGUCUGAGAUCCAGGGAGGCAGCGGCCUUUUGUGCUUCAGCCUCGAUGGAGUCUCUGGGCAAAUGACAAUAGCUAGCUAGCAUUGCUGAAUCACUUCACAUCCACUGGCUACUUGCCACAGGGUUUUACAACAUCAUUUGAGAUAUAUAAAUGAAGAUAUUUCUUCCGGGUAUCAAGCCCAUCUGUGGAUAUUAUUUAAUGAAAUGGGAAGGAAGGAUACAAACCAAAUGGUACCAGGGACAGUCAGGCAAGUUCCAGAUCUCAGCAACGCAACCCAAACAAGAGAGGCAGGAAGAGAUGAGAUACCGGCAACCAACACCUGGACAGAGCUCGCUCCAAGGAAGACCGAAGCCUUGUUUUGUUCGAAGGCUUGCUUUCACAUAGUUUGCUCUCCAACUAGAUUAAAACC
rnacentral:lncRNA from 1 species